GACACCCUGUGCUGGGGACAGUGGCACAGCCAGGGACCCUGCUGUGACACGCUGUGCUGGGGGUUCAGGGACACGUUUGCCUGGUUGGAAAUUCCAGGAGGCAGCUCAGAACCGGAGAUCCAUCUGUCUAUGCCUGGAACUGGGCACUAGGGCAGAUUUCUCCCCAGUGGUGCUCAAGGAGCUGCACUGGCAGCCACACUCUCUUUUUCUUUCCCCCCCCAUUUUCUUUUCCCCCCAUCACAUUAACACUUCCAAUAGUUUUUCUGUUUGCAAAAAACAACUUAGGUGUAUUAAAAAAAGGGAUAUGGCAACAGGAGCUUGUUUCCAAAAUGUCAAGCCAAAUCUAGAGCUUGGCUUUUCUGAAGAUUUAAGACCUACUGAUUAGCCUCCCCUGCCUUUCUAUGGGCCAAGCCUGCUUCCAGCUGUUGGGCACAGAGCUUACUGAAGGAAGGGAAGCUGUAAUGUGCCAGCCAGAUGAGUCCGGGGCAGGAAGGGAAGGAGCAAUCAAAACAGAAAGAACAGGCCAGGCUUGGUCCCCGAGGUAACCAGAGCACAGCCCCAGCAGGUCAGCCCAGGAAAAACAGCUGCUGAACUGGGGCAGUCCCCACAGACUCCGAC